UUUCCCCCUACGUGGUUUAUAGCUGAGUUUGAGAAGUCUGCAAAAAGUCAGACUGCAUUUCAAUUUCCCCACUCCAACUCCAGGGCUGAAAGAGGAAAGGAACUCUCUGGCUGGAACAAGCCCUCAUCUCACCUGUCUAGUCAGUCUUCUGAGUCAAGUCUCAAGUCUUCUUUGUCUUUGCUGUUAUUCUCCCACGGGCCUACCUGCGAUGGGGCCUGAGAUGAUUAUUUUAGUCCCACAACCUGAUGACACAUUUACCUCAGGAGAUAGAGAAGCCAGGUUGGGGGCUUCUCUGAGGUCCCAGUUUCCUUGGAGGCUUGCUGAGAGAGAGCGAGAGAGCAUAAACAGGCAAAGCAGCAGAAGGAGAGGGAGAAGCAGGCUCCCCACUGAGCAUGGAGCCUGAUGUUCAGCUUGUUUCUGGGCCCUGGGAUCAUGACCUGAGCCAAAGGCAGUCACUUAACCAACUGAGCCACCCAGGUGCCGUUGUCCUUUUGUUCUUUUCAGUAUUCUAUAGUGCAAGAUUUGGUUCUGAAAAAAAAAUUGUUCUUCCUUCCUGCUUUAUAUGUAAAUAUAAAC
rnacentral:lncRNA from 1 species